UACAGAGGGUGCAAGCGUUGUUCGGAAUUAUUGGGCGUAAAGCGCGCGCAGGCGGUCCUUUAAGUCUGAUGUGAAAGCCCACGGCUCAACCGUGGAGGGUCAUUGGAAACUGGGGGACUUGAGUACAGAAGAGGAAAGCGGAAUUCCACGUGUAGCGGUGAAAUGCGUAGAGAUGUGGAGGAACACCAGUGGCGAAGGCGGCUUUCUGGUCUGUAACUGACGCUGAGGCGCGAAAGCGUGGGGAGCAAACAGG
rnacentral:rRNA from 1 species